CUUAGAUAAAAAUAUAAAGGAAAAAUCUGAAGUCCAUUUUCUCUUUUCUUUCUGGUCAAUGCAAGUCUUCACAGCUGACUCAAUACUUUUCUUUCAAGAACCUUGGUCUCUCUUGGAAUGCUCCCAACUGUUCACCUUCAUCUGGCGGCAGGGCCACUAACAUCUCAAGCUGCAGCAGGAUUAUGGGAUUGCUGUUUAUGCAAAGGGAAACAUCAGGAUAAGCAAAUAUGGAAGAGAAAACCCCUCUGGAGCAGAGGAGUUUGAAGACGAAGAAGAAACAACUCGAGAGCAUUUGCAAUGCAAACCCUACUGGACAUCUGAGCCUAAUUUAUCGGUUGUAAGAAAGGGGACCAGACACGAGUCAUUUCUGCUCCACGAUUCAGGAGAACGUGCAGCUUCUGGUGUUUUCCAGCAAGCGCACUGCCCCUGGUUAUCUAUCUGCGAUGCUUCUGGUGACUCAAGGCAGCAUCUAUCCUGGUAACGUUUCUAAACAACAAGGCUCUUGAAGGCUCAGCCACUGGGGACGAUAUCACGUUCCCCAUGCAGACUCCUACCACUGAUCAGGGGAUGGACACGCUGGCAUAGUGGCUUCACUUUUCUCUCUGUGGUCUUUUCCCAUCAACCCGGUGAAGGAGCGCUGCUGUCCUCAGACAUGAGUGGACGUUCCUAUAUCCCAUUUCUUAACUCUGUAGGCUCCACCGUCCAUUGCCCAGUGGGUACACGCCCCACUUCUUGUAGGGGGAGCUUGCAUUUUCAGAUCAGGACUUGUCUAAGGUGGGUGUACCAAUAAAUAGCAUGCCC
rnacentral:lncRNA from 12 species